rnacentral:lncRNA from 1 species
UGCUUGAUCCAUAAGACUUAUCUUCUUCACGUGCAUCUCAUAUGCAUGGGUUGAUAACCACUGUGUCUCAUAAGAUGGACCUGUUCUUUCACUGAGUUCAUUUGUCAUUAUUCAAAACUUCAACUGAAGUUGGGCCAACAAUUCCUAACAAGAAACUACAAAAGAGAAACCUAUCAGAUUCGAUACCAACUCUAAUGACCAUGACAUGCACCUGCGGCCUAUUCUGUUAAAUAAGUCUAAUGUUCGACUCUUGUUAUCCCCCCAAAAUCGUGAAACU